UGCAGAAUCCCGCGAACCAUCGAGUCUUUGAACGCAAGUUGCGCCCGAGGCCAAUCGGCCAAGGGCACGUCUGCCUGGGCGUCAAGC
rnacentral:rRNA from 2 species